AUUGAACGCUGGCGGCAGGCCUAACACAUGCAAGUCGAACGAGUGAAGGACGGGUGAGUAAUGUCUGGGAAACUGCCCGAUGGAGGGGGAUAACUACUGGAAACGGUAGCUAAUACCGCAUACCAUCAGAUGUGCCCAGAUGGGAUUAGCUAGUAGGUGGGGUAACGGCUCACCUAGGCGCCGAUCCAUAGCUGAGCUGAGAGGAUGACCAGCCACACUGGGACGGAGACACGGUCCAGACUCCUACGGGAGGCAGCAGUGGGGAAUCUUGUACAAUGGGCGAAAGUCUGAUGCAGCAAUGCCGCGUGUAUGAAGAAGGCCUUCGGGUUGUAAAGUACUUUCAGCGGGGAGGCGUUACCCGCAGAAGAAGCACCGGCUAACUCCGUGCCAGCAGCCGCGGUAAUAC
rnacentral:rRNA from 1 species